AACGAACGCUGGCGGCGUGCCUAACACAUGCAAGUCGAGCGAGAAAGUCCGCAAGGAUGAGUAAAGCGGCGAACGGGUGAGUAACACGUAGGUUACCUGCCUUACAGCCCGGGACAACCUGUCGAAAGACGGGCUAAUACCGGAUAAGACCACGACUCUUUCGGGAGCAGUGGUAAAAGAUGGCCUCUUCAUGAACGCUAUCACUGAAAGAUGGGCCUGCGCACCAUUAGCUAGUUGGUAGGGUAAUGGCCUACCAAGGCUACGAUGGUUAGCUGAUCUGAGAGGAUGAUCAGCCACACUGGAACGAAAACACGGUGCAGAAUCCUACGGGAGGCAGCAGUGGGGAAUAUUGCGCAAUGGGGGAAACCCUGACGCAGCAACGCCGCGUGAGUGACGAAGGCCUUCGGGUCGUAAAGCUCUGUCGGAGGGGAAGAAACUAUCGAUGGCUAACAUCCAUCGGUAUUGACGGUACCCUCAAAGGAAGCACCGGCUAACUCCGUGCCAGCAGCCGCAGUAACAC
rnacentral:rRNA from 1 species